GCCUGUUGUACCUCUGUGUCAGGGUGAGUUUGCGUGUUGUGCGGCUGACUUGGUACUGGUAGAAGCGGGGAACCAGUUCUCGGCCCACUUUGAUGACUGACCGAUGUCCAGCUGCUCCAAACUACGUCUGGGAAACCUCAGGGCAGAUUUCACCUGGACGAGCAGCGAUGGGAAGACAGAAAUAAAGGGAGGACAUAGUUAAGAGAGUACAGAUGGAGGAUGAAGGUUGGCUGCUUGUUUCCACUGACCCUGUGCCUCUCUAUGGAGCUGAGGAAGUCCAGGUCGGUCUGGUCUGAUAUCCCUCCGUGAACGAUCAGGAUCUUUCCGUCAAUCAC